GCGCCCGUAGCUCAGCCGGAUAGAGCAGCGGCCUUCUAAGCCGUCGGUCAGGGGUUCGAAUCCUCUCGGGCGCGCCA
rnacentral:tRNA from 1 species